CAUGAAGCUGGAAUCGCUAGUAAUCGCGAAUCAGAAUGUCGCGGUGAAUACGUUCCCGGGUCUUGUACACACCGCCCGUCACACCAUGGGAGUCGGAAAUGCCCGAAGUCUGUGACCCAACCUGGAAGGGAGGGAGCAGCCGAAGGCAGGUCGGAUGACUGGGGGUGAAGUCGUAACAAGGUAGC
rnacentral:rRNA from 1 species